rnacentral:misc_RNA from 1 species
AAGAUGAUGGCAAAAAUGGGAUUUUUAGAAGGUGGAGGUCUGGGAAAGGCUGGUCAAGGUAUGGCAGAGCCUAUUGAAGUGAUCCAAAGGCCCAAAUCACUAGGUUUGGGUGCCAACUUCCCCAACACUACUGAUGACUCUUUGGAGAAUAAACCUCAAAGAACUGCAAGGUUUGAAAACCAUGCUAAACAUAAAAGCUUGGGAACUUUUGAAAAACAUACCAAAGGUUUUGGCUCUAAGAUGAUGGCAAGGAUGGGCUUU